ensembl:lncRNA
GGCGUAGAGCGCAGGUCUCUGUUGGGCUUUCAGCAUUUCACAUUCAGCAGAAAGUCUCUUCUUCCUGCAGAGUGAUGACGAACUGAUCUCGUUCUGAUUGUGAACUGAUUGUAGUGAAGAGACGAGCAGCUGAGUGGCAGAGACUUCGCACCUGGCCGUGUCCUAUAACGUGUCAUCUGUACAGCCUGUCUGACUCAGAUCAGCUCCGUGUUCAGUAGCUCCGUGUUCAGUAGCUCAGUGUUUAAUAGCUCAGUGUUUAAUAGCUGUGUUCAGUAGCUCAGUGUUUAAUAGCUCAGUGUUUAAUAGCUGUGUUCAGUAGCUCAGUGUUUAAUAGCUCAGUGUUUAAUAGCUGUGUUCAGUAGCUCAGUGUUUAAUAGCCGUGUUCAGUAGCUCAGUGUUUAAUAGCUGUGUUCAGUAGCUCAGUGUUUAAUAGCUCAGUGUUUAAUAGCUGUGUUCAGUAGCUCAGUGUUUAAUAGCUGUGUUCAGUAGCUCAGUGUUUAAUAGCUGUGUUCAGUAGCUCAGUGUUUAAUAGCUGUGUUCAGUAGCUCAGUGUUUAAUAGCUGUGUUCAGUAGCUCAGUGUUCAGUAGCUCAGUGUUUAAUAGCCGUGUUCAGUAGCUCAGUGUUCAGUAGCUCAGUUGUUAAUAGCUGUGUUCAGUAGCUCAGUGUUUAAUAGCUGUGUUCAGUAGCUCAGUGUUUAAUAGCUGUGUUCAGUAGCUCAGUGUUUAAUAGCCGUGUUCAGUAGCUCAGUGUUCAGUAGCUCAGUGUUCAGUAGCUCAGUGUUUAAUAGCCGUGUUCAGUAGCUCAGUGUUCAGUAGCUCAGUGUUUAAUAGCCGUGUUCAGUAGCUCAGUGUUUAAUAGCUCAGUGUUUAAUAGCCGUGUUCAGUAGCUCAGUGUUUAAUAGCUCAGUGUUUAAUAGCCGUGUUCAGUAGCUCAGUGUUCAGUAGCUCAGUGUUUAAUAGCCGUGUUCAGUAGCUCAGUGUUCAGUAGCUCAGUGUUUAAUAGCCGUGUUCAGUAGCUCAGUGUUUAAUAGCUGUGUUCAGUAGCUCAGUGUUCAGUAGCUCAGUGUUUAAUAGCUGUGUUCAGUAGCUCAGUGUUUAAUAGCCGUGUUCAGUAGCUCAGUGUUCAGUAGCUCAGUGUUUAAUAGCUCAGUGUUUAAUAGCUGUGUUCAGUAGCUCAGUGUUUAAUAGCUGUGUUCAGUAGCUCAGUGUUUAAUAGCUGUGUUCAGUAGCUCAGUGUUCAGUAGCUCAGUGUUUAAUAGCCGUGUUCAGUAGCUCAGUGUUCAGUAGCUCAGUGUUUAAUAGCUGUGUUCAGUCGCUCAGUGUUCAGUAGCUCAGUGUUUAAUAGCUGUGUUCAGUCGCUCAGUGUUCAGUAGCUCAGUGUUUAAUAGCUGUGUUCAGUAGCUUGCCGCUUGUUGCAUAAAUCCAUUUUCAACACACUCGUCUCAUUGACAUGUAUGUCUAUUUUACAAUAUUAUUAUUAUAUCAUUUUAUUUAAUCAUCAUCAUCAUCAUUAU